rnacentral:rRNA from 2 species
CAGCCGCCGCGGUAACACCAGCCCCUCGAGUGGUGGGGAUGAUUAUUUGGCCUAAAGCGUCCGUAGCCGGCCGAGCAAGUCUUCCGUUAAAUCCAGCGUCUCAAGCGUUGGACCGCGGGAGAUACUACACGGCUAGAGAGUGGGAGAGGUCAGCGGUAUUCUGGGGGUAGGGGCGAAAUCCUUUGAUCCCCGGAGGACCACCAGUGGCGAAGGCUGCUGACUAGAACACGUCUGACGGUCACGGACGAAAGCUGGGGUAGCGAACCGGAUUAGAUACCCGGGUAGUCCCAGCCGUAAACGAUGCAUGCUAGGUGUUGGGUUGGCCACGAGUCACCCCAGUGCCGCAGGGAAGCCGUUAAGCAUGCCGCCUGGGAAGUACGAUCGCAAGAUUGAAACUUAAAGGAAUUGGCGGGGGAGCAC